GACGAACGCUGGCGGCGUGCCUAACACAUGCAAGUCGAACGGAAAGGCCCUGCUUUUGUGGGGUGCUCGAGUGGCGAACGGGUGAGUAACACGCGAGUAACCUGCCCUUGACUUUGGGAUAACUCCAGGAAACAGGGGCUAAUACCGGAUAGGAGCUCCUGCUGCAUGGUGGGGGUUGGAAAGUUUCGGUGGUUGGGGAUGGACUCGCGGCUUAUCCGCUUGUUGGUGAGGUAGUGGCUUACCAAGGUUUUGACGGAUAGCCGGCCUGGGAGGGUGACCGGCCACAAUAGGACUGAGAGACGGCCCAGACGCCUACGUGAGGCAGCAGGGGGGAAUAUUGCGCAAUGGGCGGAAGCCAGAUGCGGCAGCGCCGCGUGCGGGAUGACGGGCUUCGGGUUGUAAACCGCUUUCGCAUGUGACGAAGCGUGAGUGACGGUAAUGGGUAAAAAAGCACCGGCUAACUACGUG
rnacentral:rRNA from 1 species